AACAGGAUUAGAUACCCUGGUAGUCCAUGCUGUAAACGAUGAUUACUAGGUGUGGGAAGAUUGACCCUUUCCGUGCCGCAGUUAACACAAUAAGUAAUCCACCUGGGGAGUACGACCGCAAGGUUGAAACUCAAAGGAAUUGACGGGGGCCCGCACAAGCAGUGGAGUAUGUGGUUUAAUUCGAAGCAACGCGAAGAACCUUACCAGGUCGUGACAUCCAACGACCGCCUAAGAGAUUAGGCUUUCCUUCGGGACGUUGAGACAGGUGGUGCAUGGUUGUCGUCAGCUCGUGUCGUGAGAUGUUGGGUUAAGUCCCGCAACGAGCGCAACCCUUAUUACUAGUUACUACGCAAGAGGACUCUAGUGAGACUGCCGUUGACAAAACGGAGGAAGGUGGGGAUGACGUCAAAUCAUCAUGCCCUUUAUGACCUGGGCUACACACGUACUACAAUGGCUAUUAACAGAGAGAAGCAAGACCGCAAGGUGGAGCAAACCUCAGAAAAAUAGUCUCAGUUCGGAUUGGGGGCUGCAACCCGCCCCCAUGAAGCCGGAAUUGCUAGUAAUCGCGGAUCAGCAUGCCGCGGUGAAUACGUUCCCGGGCCUUGUACACACCGCCCGUCACACCAUGAGAGCCGGGGGGACCCGAAGUCGGUAGUCUAACCGCAAGGAGGACGCCGCCGAAGGUAAAACUGGUGAUUGGGGUGAAGUCGUAACAAGGUAACC
rnacentral:rRNA from 1 species